GGCCCACUAGUCUAAAUGGAUAGGGCUACAGACUUCUAAUCUGUAAGUGGGGGUUCGAUUCCUCCGUGGGCUA
rnacentral:tRNA from 1 species